rnacentral:rRNA from 1 species
UACGAAGGGUGCAAGCGUUACUCGGAAUUACUGGGCGUAAAGCGUGCGUAGGUGGUUUGUUAAGUCUGAUGUGAAAGCCCUGGGCUCAACCUGGGAAUUGCAUUGGAUACUGGCAGGCUAGAGUGCGGUAGAGGGUAGUGGAAUUCCCGGUGUAGCAGUGAAAUGCGUAGAGAUCGGGAGGAACAUCUGUGGCGAAGGCGACUGCCUGGACCAGCACUGACACUGAGGCACGAAAGCGUGGGGAGCAAACAGG